UGCCCUAUGGCGCAAUUGGCAGCGCGUCAGACUGUUACAUGGUUUAGAACCGUAAUGGCAUCUGGAGGCUCUGAGUUCGACCCUCAGUGGGGCAG